rfam:Oceanimonas sp. GK1, complete genome.
GACUAUAGCUUAGCGGCCUGAGCAAUCGGGCUAGGGCUGGUGAAUCUUUAUUCACCGGCCC